CACAUUCCCACAGCUCUUUGCUUCUGGAAAACUGUUUACAGUGGAAGAAGUAAGAUACCAGUAAGAUACAAUUACUGUGGAGGCUGCCCCAUAGAGUAGCAAUUAUGUUCCCAGCUUUGGGCAUUUUCCUCUGUGGUUCAGAAAUCUGGAAUUUCAUCUUCUAAAAACACGUUUUGAAAUUUGACAGAUGACAUGAGAUGUCAAGGAGGAAAGAGAAAGGAGCCCGUAUUUUUUUAAAGCUUUUUUCACACAAGACACAGGAUAUUAUAGAUCGGGACUGUGGCUAUCCAAAGCUAUGUGCAAACUGAAAUUAUAAGGAAGCAGAAAAGCUAUGAAGAGGUGGAGAGAGGAAAGGAGAGAUAUACACAGAAAUGGAGCUGAAGAAAGGCAAAUGAAAAGAGAAAGAAGAGUUUGCACAGUACCUCAGUUCUUCAACUGAGCAUCCUUAUAUUCAACUUCCUUUUCCCCCAGAGGAGAUAACUGCAGUGGCUUUUUAUUACUUGAAAACAAAAGGACAAAACCCUAACAAGUGGUUCCUGGUCCAGAAGACUCAGGAAGGACUAUUGUGCAGAGAUGCUACCUGGUGUAUGUCUGGAAGACAGCAGAUUGUGGAUCCCAGUUUGAAUGGUUUCUUGAUAAAUAAUGAGGCACAGGAAGUACAACAGACACCAAACAAAGGCAAGAGAGACACAUCUAUGAAGAUCAGCUGCACAUAAUGUGUAUUUUAAAUCAAUCAGGCAUCUCCAUGGAUUUGAUAACAAAUAAAGAAAAUGACAUAUUAGUUCUAUGAAGAAAGCAGCCACUUCUAAU
rnacentral:lncRNA from 1 species